rnacentral:rRNA from 1 species
UACGUAGGUGGCAAGCGUUGUCCGGAAUUAUUGGGCGUAAAGCGCGCGCAGGCGGUCCUUUAAGUCUGAUGUGAAAGCCCACGGCUCAACCGUGGAGGGUCAUUGGAAACUGGGGGACUUGAGUGCAGAAGAGGAAAGUGGAAUUCCACGUGUAGCGGUGAAAUGCGUAGAGAUGUGGAGGAACACCAGUGGCGAAGGCGACGUUCUGGUCUGUAACUGACGCUGAGGCGCGAAAGCGUGGGGAGCAAACAGG